CCUACGGGAGGCAGCAGUGGGGAAUAUUGCACAAUGGGGGAAACCCUGAUGCAGCGACGCAGCGUGAGUGAAGAAGUCUUUCGGUAUGUAAAGCUCUAUCAGCAGGGAAGAAAAUGACGGUACCUGAUUCAGAAGCCCCGGCUAACUACGUGCAAGCAGCCGCGGUAAUACGUAGGGGGCCAGCGUUAUCCGGAUUUACUGGGUGUAAAGGGAGCGUAGACGGCAGCGCAGGUCUGAAGUGAAAGGCCGGGGCUUAACCCCGGAACUGCUUUGGAAACUGUGCAGCUAGAGUGCAGGAGAGGUAAGUGGAAUUCCUAGUGUAGCGGUGAAAUGCGUAGAUAUGAGGAGGAACACCAGUGGCGAAGGCGGCUUACUGGACUGUAACUGACGUUGAGGCUCGAAAGCGUGGGGAGCAAACAGGAUUAGAUACCCUAGUAGUC
rnacentral:rRNA from 1 species